rnacentral:lncRNA from 10 species
GAUCUUCAACUCCUGGUCUCAAGUGAUCUGCCCUCUUCGGCCUCCCAAAGUGCUGGGAUUACAGGCAUAAGGCACCAUGCCUGGGCAACAUGUACAAAUUUAAAAGUGAUUAUUAAAUAACAAUGAAAACUACUAGCUCUUAGUAUCUUUUUAAAAAGUGAUUUCACAUACAGUCUCACAUUUAAAUGGGCUUGAAGGGUCCAGUGUCCCUGGCAACAGAGAAUAAAACACUUGUAGGAUGUCAUUUUCAAACCUUUCACAGAUGAGAGAGCACAGUUCAUUAAUACCUAGGUAUGUUUGCAUGUGGACAAGCUUUGGAAUGCAUGUCCAGUUUCCUAGGCUAAGUGAUUAGCUCUUAAAGAUACAGUGCAUGACUUCUAAUUCCUUGCUAUUCCCUCACGUCAACUGAAAACUGCUUUGACUAGGUAGGUCUGUGCAGCUGACUGAUAUAUGAACCAAGCCUGGAGAAAGGAGAUAUGAUGUCAUGAGCAUUUUUUUUUCCAACUUGUUUCCCUCAAUACCCUUCAGGUACAGUGAAUACGGUCACCUUUUCUCACUGUGUGCUCAUGCGGACAAGGUUUUAAAUUUUGAUGAUUGUCAGAUUUUUACUGGUAGGUUUGGGCUUGGGUAACCCUCUUCCCUUCCAAUAGUGUAGUUCUAGAAUUCUGUCAAUAAACAAGCUAGUGUGAAUUAAUUGAAUCAGCUGCAUCAAUAAGGGGGGGUAUUCAGUGUCUUCUCUCCUCAAUGCCAAGGGGAACCAGGUGAGUGAAACUGAUUGGCCAGACAGUUUCUUUGCCAAAUCUUUGAGAGUCCUCAGGCUUUGGGAGAAUUAGUAAAAAACGGACAUGGACAGAAUGUAAAUGGAAAGUUGAACAGGCUCUUCACCAAGAUGGUGGGUUGCAGUUUCCUGCAGCCACACAGUCUUUGUUGAAACAGGGCUGUGGUUAUGAAGAGUUGUGCAUUCUUAGCUGCCGCAGACUGUGCUGGGAAUGGAAACUAAAGCAGUCAGUGGCGGUGACCACAACCCAGAAGCUGAAACCAUGCUCUAAUUUUACAGAAAAUUGCUAGUUCUGGCUCUGUUCAUUGCUUAUGAGUUUUCAUUUAGACUGCAAGGAUUACAUCUAGUUGUAUGUGAAAUAACAUCUUGAAAAUUGACUGAAGAAAAACCAUUUAGCCCUCACUCAUUUGUACUAACCCACAAAAUGUCAGUACAAACAUCUUCUAAUAUACUGUAAGAUACAUCCUUUAGCAUUGACAGUCAGUACAAUUAUAGGAGUGAAAAACAGAGGGAAUAGCCAAAGCAGCAGUGAGAAAAGAGGACGGACAAAAAAGAUGAGGAGGAGGAGGAAGAAAAAAAUUAGGAGAAGCGACUUUGCAUUUGGGAAAAAAUUUGGACUUAUAUUUAUUUAUGUGAAUAUCUUGCCAAAUUUGGGAAUUAACAGUAUGUUAAAGAAAAUGGUGAGAGCUGGCCGGGCGUG